rnacentral:piRNA from 1 species
UAAAACUCUGAGGCUUUGGUGAGCGC